GUGAGGAAUAUUAGACAAUGGGCGCAAGCCUGAUCCAGCCAUGCCGCGUGCAGGAAGACGCAUCUAUGGUGUGUAAACUGCUUUUGUACGGGAAGAAACACUCCCUCGUGAGGGAGCUUGACGGUACCGUAAGAAUAAGGAUCGGCUAACUCCGUGCCAGCAGCCGCGGUAAUACGGAGGAUCCAAGCGUUAUCCGGAAUCAUUGGGUUUAAAGGGUCCGUAGGCGGUUUAAUAAGUCAGUGGUGAAAGCCCAUCGCUCAACGAUGGAACGGCCAUUGAUACUGUUAGACUUGAAUUACAAGGAAGUAACUAGAAUAUGUAGUGUAGCGGUGAAAUGCUUAGAUAUUACAUGGAAUACCAAUUGCGAAGGCAGGUUACUACUUGUGGAUUGACGCUGAUGGACGAAAGCGUGGGGAGCGAACAGGAUUAGAAACCCUUGUAGUCC
rnacentral:rRNA from 1 species